rnacentral:rRNA from 1 species
AUUGAACGCUGGCGGCAUGCCUUACACAUGCAAGUCGAACGGUAACGGGCCUUCGGGUGCCGGCGAGUGGCGAACGGGUGAGUAAUGCAUCGGAACGUACCUUUCAGUGGGGGAUAACGUAGCGAAAGUUACGCUAAUACCGCAUAUUCUGUGAGCAGGAACGCAGGGGAUCGCAAGACCUUGCGCUGAUUGAGCGGCCGAUGCCAGAUUAGCUAGUUGGUGAGGUAAAGGCUCACCAAGGCGACGAUCUGUAGCGGGUCUGAGAGGAUGAUCCGCCACACUGGAACUGAGACACGGUCCAGACUCCUACGGGAGGCAGCAGUGGGGAAUUUUGGACAAUGGGGGCAACCCUGAUCCAGCCAUGCCGCGUGAGUGAAGAAGGCCUUCGGGUUGUAAAGCUCUUUCGGUCGGGAAGAAAUCGCAUGGGUUAAUACCCUGUGCGGAUGACGGUACCGGCAUAAGAAGCACCGGCUAACUACGUGCCAGCCGCCGCCGUAAUAC